AGGGAUCAUGACGAGGCGACCUUUGGUCUUGCAGCUUGGCAAGACAAACGAGGGAGCUUAGAAAUACGCCGAGUUUCUUCACCUUUGCAAGAGGUGAUUCACAGAUUUUGGAAUUGAUGUUCAGUUUUUAAGUUACAUAAUUAUUUUUGCCAAAACUUGAGAAGAGAGCUGGCAAUUAGGAGUCAGAAAAUCUGAGGUCAAAUUUAGGAGUUUGCAAGAACUCUCUUUUGUGUUACUGCUACCAGAUUCAGAGGAUGCAAUUUUAUCUAGUUCUUCCUUUUAAAAAGGGGUACACAUUUGGAUUUUUAU